CAAGCACCUGUGGCACCCAGAGCUCGGCUGGUUGGUGUUGGUGGGAGCAGGGAGGUGGCAGAGGAGCACAGGGCACUGGGUGCUGCCAUGAGAGUGGCCUCUGGCCCGUCGCUGCCCACUGGACACCCGUGGGUGCUGUGGGGAGGAUGUGGCUGCUGACCUCAUCCCAGCAGGAGGACAGGGACUUGGCAGGUCCCCAAGAUAAACAUUCCUGUUCCCGCCACCUUUCUGCCUUGCUGGGAACAGGGAUAACGAAACUCGCUGGGAAAUUAGGGACUUUUUACCAGGCAGUGCCAGGGCCUGCAGCUGUGCCUGCGCUGGCUCCUGGCCUUGAGGGUGCUGGGGAACGGGACUGGUGGGUUGUUGAAACCAUGUCUGCUGCCAAGGAGCUGGCUCAGGGGAUGAGGGGGCUCUGCUGUGGGACAGGGGAGAGGGUCCCUGUCCUGCCCUUGCUCAGGCUUCCCACGGCCAAGCGCCAGCGUGAAGCCUGGGUUGGGUCCUGGGGGUUCCUCUCUGCUAAGCUGUUGCCCUGCCCCAGCUGGGACACCCGGGGGUCAGCAGCCAGGGCUCCCCCCACCCGCUGUGCAUGCUCAGUCCCCCGGGGGCUUAACCCACCUCCCUCUCCUCUUGUGCAGACCCUGCCUUGCCCCUGCCCCCAGAGUGUCAGGGGGCAAACCCGCAUGUCCCAGAGUCCUGUGACGCCCCUUGGCUCAGGCAGUGCCCCAUGCGAUGGACACGGGGGCCCAACCGAGCCCUGCUCCUUCAUCCCUGGGGGGGCCCAUGGGUGCUCGCCCAGGAGCGGGUGGGACACACGGGCUCCUGGGACUCCCUGCCUUGCUCCUCCUGCUUCUGCCCUGCUGGGCCCUGGCUCUUCCCUGUGCAGGUGCCAUGGCCCUGCAGCUCCCCACCAUCACCAUCCUGCGGAUGCCAGCAGAGGCCCCCUGUCCAGGCGAGAGCGUGACGGUGUCAUGUGAGGCGACAAGUGGGCUCCCAGAGCUGACGCUGCUCUACUGGCUGGGGAACAGCUCCUUUGUGGAGAGCCUGUACCCAGAUGGGGCCGUGUACGAGGGGACAGUGCAUGGCUGCUUCUGCUUACUGUGACCUGUGGAUGUGUCCACGUGGGAGCAAGAAACCCCAAGAUGUCUGUGGCCAUGGAUAUGUCUGUGCUGCAGCAGGAGCAUCUCUGAAGGGAAUGUGGCCCAAGGUACAUCCUGAAGCAUCCGUGGCUGUGCAGGAAGUCAUGCUGGAGCACCCUGAGGUGUGUGACCAUGGAUAAACUCACAACAGAGCGGGUACACCCCUGGAAGGACUGCAGCCAUGGAGAAGGCCACACUGGAGCAGAAGAACCUGAGGCUCCCACAGAAUCGCUCUGGUUAGAUGGCAGCUCGGGAGAUCUUCAGUCCAACCCCCUGCUGCAAGCAGGACCACCUCUGGGAUCAGAGAAGGCAGCUCAGCAUUUUCUGCAGCUGGGUCCUAAAAUCUCUCAAGGAUGGAGCCUGCACACCUUCAUUAGGCAACCUGCUCCACUGCCUGCCUGAUAUCAUGGGGCAACUUUUUUCCAUGUAUUAACCUCAUCUUCCCUUGUCCAGGCUGUGUGCCUAGUUCCCCCACACUUUUCUCACAGUGACAUGCACCCCUGCCCAUUUUAGUGGCUCUCCACCGGACCAUUUCAGUUGAUCUGUAUUUUCCCAGGGAAGGGCCUGUCAUCCAGCCCAUGCUGGAUGUGUGGACACCUGCAGUUUCCCCAAAUUGGGGAGCUUGACUUCAUCUUUUGUGAUGAUGGCAAACUGCUCACGUGUCCAGAAAUUCAAGCACGCAGCAGUAACCGGGGUUUGUUGGGAAGAAACCAUGAGAUUAAUAAAUCCUUGGGCUUUCUAACAGAGUGAAUUAAAA